ACUCCUACGGGAGGCAGCAGUGGGGAAUUUUGGACAAUGGGCGAAAGCCUGAUCCAGCAAUGCCGCGUGAGUGAAGAAGGCCUUCGGGUUGUAAAGCUCUUUUGUCAGGGAAGAAACGGUGAGAGCUAAUAUCUCUUGCUAAUGACGGUACCUGAAGAAUAAGCACCGGCUAACUACGUGCCAGCAGCCGCGGUAAUACGUAGGGUGCAAGCGUUAAUCGGAAUUACUGGGCGUAAAGCGUGCGCAGGCGGUUUUGUAAGUCUGAUGUGAAAUCCCCGGGCUCAACCUGGGAAUUGCAUUGGAGACUGCAAGGCUAGAAUCUGGCAGAGGGGGGUAGAAUUCCACGUGUAGCAGUGAAAUGCGUAGAUAUGUGGAGGAACACCGAUGGCGAAGGCAGCCCCCUGGGUCAAGAUUGACGCUCAUGCACGAAAGCGUGGGGAGCAAACAGGAUUAGAAACCCCAGUAGUCC
rnacentral:rRNA from 1 species